UACGGAGGGUGCAAACGUUGCUCGGAAUCAUUGGGCGUAAAGCGCACGUAGGCGGUCUGCCAAGUCGGAUGUGAAAGCCCUGGGCUCAACCCAGGAAGUGCAUUCGAAACUAGCAGACUUGAAUAUGGAAGAGGGUCGCGGAAUUCCCGGUGUAGAGGUGAAAUUCGUAGAUAUCGGGAGGAACACCAGUGGCGAAGGCGGCGACCUGGGCCAAUAUUGACGCUGUGGUGCGAAAGCGUGGGGAGCAAACAGG
rnacentral:rRNA from 1 species